rnacentral:rRNA from 1 species
AAGUCGAACGGGAAUAUCCUUCGGGAUUAGUAUAGUGGCGCACGGGUGAGUAACACGUGGGUAACCUGCCCUCAAGACAGGGAUAACCAGCCGAAAGGCUGGCUAAUACCAGAUAAGACCCCACAGGCGAAUGCCUGCGAGGCCAAAGAUACCCUCUGCAUAUGGUAUCACUUGAGGAUGGGCCCGCGGCCCAUUAGUUAGUUGGUAGGGUAACGGCCUACCAAGACAAAGAUGGGUAGCUGGUCUGAGAGGAUGAUCAGCCACACUGGGACUGAGACACGGCCCAGACUCCUACGGGAGGCAGCAGUGGGGAAUAUUGCGCAAUGGACGAAAGUCUGACGCAGCAACGCCGCGUGAGUGAUGAAGGCCUUCGGGUUGU